GCGGAGGAAAAGAAACCAACAGGGAUUGCCCCAGUAACGGCGAGUGAAGCGGCAACAGCUCAAAUUUGAAAUCUGGCCCCCCCGCGGGGUCCGAGUUGUAAUUUGAAGAGGAUGCUUCUGGCGAGGCGCCGUCCGAGUUCCCUGGAACGGGACGCCGCAGAGGGUGAGAGCCCCGUACGGUCGGACGCCGAGCCUAUGUGAAGCUCCUUCGACGAGUCGAGUAGUUUGGGAAUGCUGCUCAAAAUGGGAGGUAAACCCCUUCUAAAGCUAAAUACCGGCCAGAGACCGAUAGCGCACAAGUAGAGUGAUCGAAAGAUGAAAAGCACUUUGAAAAGAGAGUUAAAAAGCACGUGAAAUUGUUGAAAGGGAAGCGCUUGCGACCAGACUCGCGCCCGUCGGAUCAGCCGUCGCUCGUCGGCGGCGCACUCCGGCGGGCUCGGGCCAGCAUCGGUUCGCCUCGGGGGGAGAAAGGCGGCGGGAAUGUGGCUCUACGGAGUGUUAUAGCCCGCCGUGCAAUAC
rnacentral:rRNA from 1 species